rnacentral:rRNA from 1 species
CGGGGGGGGGGUGCUAAUACAUGCAAGUAGAACGCUGAAGAGAGGAGCUUGCUCUUCUUGGAUGAGUUGCGAACGGGUGAGUAACGCGUAGGUAACCUGCCUUGUAGCGGGGGAUAACUAUUGGAAACGAUAGCUAAUACCGCAUAACAAUGGAUGACACAUGUCAUUUAUUUGAAAGGGGCAAUUGCUCCACUACAAGAUGGACCUGCGUUGUAUUAGCUAGUAGGUGAGGUAACGGCUCACCUAGGCGACGAUACAUAGCCGACCUGAGAGGGUGAUCGGCCACACUGGGACUGAGACACGGCCCAGACUCCUACGGGAGGCAGCAGUAGGGAAUCUUCGGCAAUGGGGGCAACCCUGACCGAGCAACGCCGCGUGAGUGAAGAAGGUUUUCGGAUCGUAAAGCUCUGUUGUAAGUCAAGAACGAGUGUGAGAGUGGAAAGUUCACACUGUGACGGUAGCUUACCAGAAAGGGACGGCUAACUACGUGCCAGCAGCCGCGGUAAUACGUAGGUCCCGAGCGUUGUCCGGAUUUAUUGGGCGUAAAGCGAGCGCAGGCGGUUUGAUAAGUCUGAAGUUAAAGGCUGUGGCUCAACCAUAGUUCGCUUUGGAAACUGUCAAACUUGAGUGCAGAAGGGGAGAGUGGAAUUCCAUGUGUAGCGGUGAAAUGCGUAGAUAUAUGGAGGAACACCGGUGGCGAAAGCGGCUCUCUGGUCUGUAACUGACGCUGAGGCUCGAAAGCGUGGGGAGCGAACAGGAUUAGAUACCCUGGUAGUCCACGCCGUAAACGAUGAGUGCUAGGUGUUGGAUCCUUUCCGGGAUUCAGUGCCGCAGCUAACGCAUUAAGCACUCCGCCUGGGGAGUACGACCGCAAGGUUGAAACUCAAAGGAAUUGACGGGGGCCCGCACAAGCGGUGGAGCAUGUGGUUUAAUUCGAAGCAACGCGAAGAACCUUACCAGGUCUUGACAUCCCGAUGCUAUUUCUAGAGAUAGAAAGUUACUUCGGUACAUCGGUGACAGGUGGUGCAUGGUUGUCGUCAGCUCGUGUCGUGAGAUGUUGGGUUAAGUCCCGCAACGAGCGCAACCCCUAUUGUUAGUUGCCAUCAUUCAGUUGGGCACUCUAGCGAGACUGCCGGUAAUAAACCGGAGGAAGGUGGGGAUGACGUCAAAUCAUCAUGCCCCUUAUGACCUGGGCUACACACGUGCUACAAUGGUUGGUACAACGAGUUGCGAGUCGGUGACGGCAAGCUAAUCUCUUAAAGCCAAUCUCAGUUCGGAUUGUAGGCUGCAACUCGCCUACAUGAAGUCGGAAUCGCUAGUAAUCGCGGAUCAGCACGCCGCGGUGAAUACGUUCCCGGGCCUUGUACACACCGCCCGUCACACCACGAGAGUUUGUAACACCCGAAGUCGGUGAGGUAACCUUUUGGAGCCAGCCGCGUAAGGUGGAAAGAGGGG